AGCAAAAAUACCCGUAUAAACGGUGCUAAAUGUAUUGAAAAAGUUUAUAAACUAUAUUACGAUUGUCAAUUAAUACAAAAAAAUACUGGAAGAAAGAAACAUGAAGUAAAAGAAUCGACUUUCGAAAGUGACAUUAAUUUGAUGUUUGACAUUGCUGCUUCUCAAACAUGUUUAGAAGAAAUUGAUGGAGCAACGUUAACGUUUUUGGAGAGACAAAGAUAUUCAGUGAAAAUUGAUUUCAUUAGCGAUGUUCAAACAAAGUAUGACGAAUAUAUAACUGAUAAUUGCUCCUGUGAUUUAUUGGGAUGGAAAAUUGCUAAAAAAAGUUUUUGAAGCUAAGAAUGUAUACCGUCCGGCCAGAAUUGUAUCUGAAGGUUCUUUCUGAUUGGGGGCAUGUCAAUGAAAUCAAAGCUGUUUGUUGUGAUACAACAAAUGCUAAUCUUUGGUCAAAGAAUGAUCAUCAGCAAAAAGUAAAAAAGAACAGAAUUUAAAUGCGGAAUUUAUGUCAUUAAUGAAUAAAAGAAAUAAUAAGGGACCCAUGAGAGAUCCCUGGGGGACAUCAGAAGUUGCCGUAAACAUCUUAGAGUAAACACCAUCCACUCGGACACAUAGGCAAUUGUCAAUUAAGUAACUACGAAACCAAGAAAUAAUUUUAGGGCCUAUGCCUAGUAAUUUUAACUUUUUAAGAAGAAUUUCGUGAUUAAUUUUAUCGAAAGCCUUAGAAAAGUCCGCGUAAACGGCGUCAACCUGAUGGCCUCGCUCGACCUCAGAUACCAAAUUCUCAUAAAAGAUACAGAUCGAUAAAGUUCAUCAUAAAUAAUGCUCUCAAAAAUAUUCGGAAUUGUGCUGAGAAAGGAACAACUAUUCCUAUUUUCCACUGUUUUGGGAAAAUCCAUUCCCGCACGGACCUAGUAAAAACUAUAUAUAUAAGGGUUCGAGUAGAGAAGAAUAGCACGACCCAAUCAAAGCAAGAGGGAUACCAUCAGGACCAGCACCAACAUUCACAUUGCAAGAUAAUAUUUUUUUAGCAAUGUUACUUUUAUUAAUAUCAAAACAAUUAAGAUUAACGGAAUCGUGUACUUUAAACGGAGUAGUAACAACAAUAUUAUCAUAAGAGAUUUGCAUUGAGUUCGUAAUGUAGAAAAUAACUGGUAGUUUGAGAA